rnacentral:rRNA from 1 species
UACGUAGGGGGCGAGCGUUGUCCGGAUUUAUUGGGCGUAAAGCGCGCGUAGGCGGUUUGUUAAGUCCGAUGUGAAAACUCCCGGCUCAACUGGGAGAUUGCAUUGGAAACUGAUGAGCUAGAGUCCAGCAGAGGGAAGUGGAAUUCCAAGUGUAGCGGUGAAAUGCGCAGAUAUUUGGAAGAACACCAGUGGCGAAGGCGGCUUCCUGGACUGCGACUGACGCUGAGGUGCGAAAGCUAGGGGAG